UACGUAGGGUGCGAGCGUUGUCCGGAAUUAUUGGGCGUAAAGAGCUCGUAGGCGGUUUGUCGCGUCUGCUGUGAAAACUCGGGGCUUAACCCCGGGCCUGCAGUGGGUACGGGCAGACUAGAGUGCGGUAGGGGAGACUGGAAUUCCUGGUGUAGCGGUGGAAUGCGCAGAUAUCAGGAGGAACACCGGUGGCGAAGGCGGGUCUCUGGGCAGUAACUGACGCUGAGGCACGAAAGCGUGGGGAGCGAACAGG
rnacentral:rRNA from 1 species